UUCAUUCCUUUCUUCUCUGAAGCACCACCUUGAUGCCUGUUUGAACUGCGCUUCCUGCAUGAAAGAGGUUGGGGAUGACGAUAGAGUGGCUGGUAGCAACAAAGUUUAUUUAUUGCUUCAAGAAUUUCUCAGUUUUCUCCUCAUUGUUGGGUAGUUCGACGAUUUGUCUCAGUCAGUGUUUGUACAGCAGGGAUGACUAUUGUGAGGAAGGAUAUUUAGUCUGAUUCAGCCGGGGCAGACAUCCCCUCCCUGCUGCAUAGGAGCAGCUCACACCAAAAGGAAAACUGUGCAGGCAACACAUCCACCACUGUCUCAUCUUCUAAAUUACAUCCAUGUAAAAGAAUUAAAGACUGAAGACCAAUUUUCCCACAGAAGAAUAGAGCGUGGACGUGUUUUAUUGCUUUGCUCCUUGCAUGUCCACGUUUGGCUUUGUUCGCCUCUGACCUCAUUUGGCUCAAGCUGCAGAACCCAGAGAUGGUCCAGUGGAUUUCUGCAAACACUUCAGCGCCACACUAAUGCUUUGUGACAAUCUGUUUUUGUGUUUUGCACGGUUUGAGAGGCGGCGGUGGGAGUGACGUUGCUUCUAAUUGGACAUAAUGAUAAAGAAAAGGAAUUUUUAGGAUCAUCAUGGGAAUGGGUUUGUACAAGAUCAGAACCAAGGAGAUAUUUCAGGUCAAUGUGAUGGAGUAAAAGGAGGAAACGGACCCUAAACAUUGCUCCUCACUCCAGUGUGUGAAAUAAGAGCAACGUCCUUCAAGUUGGACCUUCGUCUGGACAAAAAAGGUAGAGGGUCUUUGCCCACAGGGCUGAGAUGUGUACUGUGUUUAUAUUGAACCUGGAGGAACCUACAAGAAGGAUUGAUGAAGGAAGGCACCAUCUCCAGCUCGUGGUUCUUACUGGGAGCCCUUCGUCUGGAGCAGCAAAGCAGAGAAGAGGGCAGUGAAGGCUGCCAGGAAGCUGCAGCGUUGCAACAUUAUGUCUGCAUGUACUGAAGCGCACCAGUUUAAAGUCAAGAUUGUGUUAUAGUCCGUUGGGGGCCACGCACUGUCAACUUCCCAACAGAAGCAGUGCAAGAGAGGCGAGCGGGCUCAGAAGUGAGGAGCAGCUGGGAAAUCAGGUGAUGGAGAAGGUGGAGCGCGUUGACCGCGGGUCAGGAUCUCAGAGAUGCUGAGAGACGAUGGAGGAAAUCAUGCUGUUGCAACCUGCAUUAGGCCUAAGGCUUCUCAGGAGGGGGCUGCAGUCAUAAGCAGCCGGCAGGAAUUCAGAUUUGCAGGAUCACCACAGUAACUGUAAUAAGUGUAUGGUGCUUCUGAGAAGAGGAUUAAAGCUUUGGGCCAAGCUUUUUUCUUUCUAUUGGUACUUUAAAACCUGAAAACAUCGUGAGCUGAGGCGAGAGCCAAGGUUCAGAGAGAGGUCGUCACUUACGACCGUCAUUACAUUAUGACUAAAAACUUACAGUAGGUUUAAGAUAUGAUAUAAUAGAGUCUUACAAAAAGCUAGGAUUAAGCAUUUUGCUGAGGGUUGUUAAGGCUGAGUAGGUGUUGCUAGCUGUUGAGUUGGCUGCUUUGCUGUGAGGCCGGACUUGUAGAAGCUUGUCAGUUACAGCGUUCGCAGUCAGGACCUGCCUCUGGCUCGUCUUUUUACAGCGUGAACAGACCCAUACAGUGUCUGAGAGGCUGCUGAAACAGUUACCGUGUGAGCGUAUGUGCUACGGUCCCGUACUGAUCCUGCUGCUCGCCCUCACGGUUCCUCUUACGUCACCGUGACUCUGGCUACGAACCAAAACCCCUCCUAUUUGACCGGUUUAUUGCAUUAUUCAAUGACGAGAAAUAAAGGCAAGGAGAGAUGAGAUCAUAAAGGACUUUGUCACCAACUGUAUGUUGCAACCGAUGGACCCUGGGCCCCUAAGUGCACAUCACAUCGCCUCUCAGUCACCUACUAAUAUAUACAGUAAAGGCUGUAGAUGAACGAACCAGCCUGGCGGCUCCUGCAGUCGGUCUGAACUAAGGUCCAGUUUACACUGGUGCUGGCUGCAGAUAUGCCCAUUGUGCUGCCUGGGA